rnacentral:ribozyme from 1 species
UCUGCUCGGCGGGGCGUUCGCCACCAACGAGGCCGGG